GCAGAGGUAUCGAAGUGGUCAUAACGAGGCGGUCUUGAAAACCGUUUGGCGCAAGCCACAAGGGGUCGAAUCCCUUUCCCUCCGCCA
rnacentral:tRNA from 1 species